AUCUGGUUUUGUUCACGUUUUCUUGCAGAUACCUUGGCCAGAGCAUAACCGGUUAUCUUCACCCAAGAGACCUACUGUUAGUCAAUCGUUUUGGUUUUAAAGGUAAAUGCAUUGUUAGUCACAAUGUCUAGUUACUGGACCAAAAGGAAAAUAAUAUUGAAAAGAGUUGAGAGGGACAAACAGGACAUUACUUGAAUCACUACAUGCUACAGAAGUUGCAUCGAUUCCAGAAAACCAGGAACAUUUUGAGCCAUCUGAAGACUUCAGAGCUGAACCAGGUUUCUCCCCAGUAAUCCAGAAUCCACUUCACAGAGCCAAGAGUUUGAGUACAAGUAAGUGAUGUUAUUUGUGAUGUUUUUUGUCUUGGAAACUAUUGCUUCUAUUUAAGAUUAGGAAUCCUUUUAUCCAUAAUCUGUUUUUCAUUAGGGCACUUGACUUUCUGGAUAAAAGGUGUCGAGCUCGUCAAGUACUAAGCUUUACACCACCAGCAGCAAAUUUACCAUGGCAGCAUAUGGGUGAAAACGCUGGAGGAGAAAGUCAUCGCUUUGUUAUUGGCCCUUGGACGCCCCUGGCAUCUCGUGUACAGCACAAAGUUUUCAGCUAUGAAGAUUUCCAGAGACUCCAGAAUGAAAACCAAGCUCUGAGGGAGGAGAACCAAGCCCUGAGGGAAUGUAAUGCACAAGGAGCUUCGGAUGACAGCGGCUCACUUCAAGAGCAGGUGAAGCAAGUAGGGACAAUGUUGAAGACAUUUGCUCUCACUGGGCAAUCAGUGCGUUACCUGAAAGGAGCAUCUGACCGUGAAGGCAGAAAAAGCCGCACAGCUGAGAAGGACCCACAGCCGACCCCUUAAACCUAGGCUGACUACUGACACCCCAGCAUCACUGAACUGGAACACUUUCUUUAUCCUGCAGUCAGUAACAUCAAGAAGCCAGAAGUACCAGACUACACUCACCAAAUCCACCCUGUUUUUUUUUUUUUGUAUUUUAACUUUAGUAUUGGCUUAUUUCAUUCCGUCUUAACGAUUCUAUUAUAGUUUGUAAAUCCUAUUUCAUACCUGUUACUUGAUAUUGCACAUUAACUAGUACCAAAGUUCUACUUUCAUUUCAUCACUGUGCUUAACUCUUAUUCUAUUAAUAAUAGCUUGGAAAUACUAUUUCGUACCUCUGAUACUUGAUAUUGCACAUUACCUGGUACCAAAUAUUCUACUUACUCUGUUUUUAACAUCAGCAUUUUUCGUUCCAUCACAGUGCUUAACUGUUAUUCUAUUGUUAAAUAUAGCUUGUAAAUCCUUGUGCCACAGGUCAGCAUUGCAGUUAUAAUGGUCUGUUCUACUACUGUUUUUACCUCCGUAUUUUUAUAUAAAUAUAUAUGUCAAGUUUUGCUUAUCACAGAUACAAGAGACACAGAUCUUAUUGCAGCACGGUGUAAAUCUUGUGCUCCAGGUCAUCAAUGCCGUUAUAAUGGUCUAUUCUACUCUAGAGCUUUACUCUAAAUUAUUACCACUUUUCCUAUUGUUAGAAAUGGCUUGAAAAUGUGAUGUUAUACCACAAUUUAUUUGGUAUCCUGCACAUUCUUCGGUACCAAAUAUCCUCAUUACUAAUGUUUACUGGUAAUUAUUUUCAUCCCAGAGCUGACCUCUUUAUAUUAUUAACAAUUAUUGUGUUUGUGUUAUAAUUUGCUUGUAUGGCUGUUUUUUUUUAACCAACAUUUUAUUGGAAACCUGCAUGUUCUGAAGUGUGUAUGUAUAUUCUUU
ensembl:lncRNA